UUUCACACAAUCUUAAAGCAAUGUCUUGUGAAGCAGAAAGCUAAUCAACACAAAAUUUAAAUGAACUCAGCAUCAAUAUCUAUUCUCUGCACCACAUGAACACCAUAAUAACUUCAACAAUCAAAGCACAGGGUUUCAAAUCAUUCACUGCAUUAUAAAAAAAUGAAAACUACAGUUACAGAUUUUAGUUAUAAAUCUGAACAUUUUUUGAUCGGAACAGUUAUAUUGUGAUUACUUUUGCUUCCCAUGAGAAUGCUAAUGUUUCUGGCACAUCGAAACCCUCCUGACCGGUAUGCAAUCAACUAACCAUGAAUGUAAUGAUUGAAAAUGGCAUCUAAUUAUUACACUCCAUUAAAAUAACUUAUCUGCAAAAUUUCAGUUAAUUACGGUGACUUCUGCCACAUCAUUCAUCUUUACCUUUAUUUCAAUCUCAGCUUUACAACCAAUUUUAUUGCAGAACAUACAAGUUACAUCCUCAUAAGACUGCAUUACACAAUGAAUGAAUGAAUGGAUAUAAAUAGUCUGUACAAGGAUGUCAAUAAGCAGACAGACUCUUCUAAACAACAAAAGUACAAUUAUCAGUUUAUACAUCAAGUAUAGAACAAACUUAGUCUAGAGAUUUCUUCACUAAUUCAGUAGCUAUAUUUAUCUUCAAACUCAUUGGAAGAGAGUAAUUUGGGAAGGUCGAGAGCCUUGAAAACAGUCUCUUGUGAAAUGAUGUAGUCUGCCACCUGUUAAAAUAAUUAAUCUUGGUUUUCACACACUGUAACUAAACCUACGAAGUAUCUGAGGGAUGAAUGAAUGAUCACUGAAAGAGAAUUCUUAAUGUAAUUAGUAAGGCCCAGCAUGUACUCAAAAACUGUUCUGAAAUCACGAAUAAUUAACAAUGAUAUGGCCAAAUUGUAAAUAGCAUCAUUAGCUGUUUACAUGUUCCAUAGGUCAUAUUCAUAAUAAAGUUUACAAUGGGGAAGAUGUCAACCAAACCGACAUUGAAUACACAUUUCAAAAAAAUGUUUAUAUGGCUACAUACUGGCCAUUUAAAGUUUUUUUUUUUUUUUUUUGGAAUAAAUGGCUACUUCCAGUCAAGAACUACUCUUUGUAGUAGGUCGAGUUUUUACAGAUAUCUUUAAUCUAAUCUAGAUUUUAAAACAUUUCUAUUAUUUCUCAGGCUUUUUACUUCCAUGGGUAAAUAGUGUGUUUCAUAGCUGCACAUUUCACUCCUUUUUCUGCCAACGGAGUUCCUGCAGGGUUACACAGAUCAUUCUUCCUUCUAGUAUUAUACUCAUGAAUACCCCUGUUGGUAACAAAUUACGUAAGUGAAUAAAUGUACUGAGAGACUUGCAAAUAUUCACAGCUGCAUAAAGUGAUGCCCUCAAGAUGUAUGUGUGUGAACUCUGCUCAUUAUUCCAAUUAGUUCCUUUUGUGCAGUGAAUAUUGUGUAAGUGUGUGAGGUGUUACCUGUAAAUAUUAUCCAAUAAGACAUCAGUGAAUGAAAAUUUGCCAGAGGUUUUCCAGUUUAAGCUUUCGUCAAUAUGUAAACCUGAAAAUCUAGAAUUUUUGUACCAUAUUUAUUAUUUCUUGUUGGUAUACUUGGUUCAUAGGAUGUGAGAUAUUUUUCACACUAUGAAACUGAAUUAGCUGUGUUUAAAAAAUUUCAAGCUAGCCCACUCAUACAAAACCAUUCAAUAACAUUCACAAAAACAUAAUUUACUAUUUUCUCCACUGAUGCUUCUUUGCUUGGCUUCACAACAAUUCUUGUAUAACCUAUAAACAGGACUGACUGUGCUUACUGAUUCAAAUAAAAAGGGAGAUCAUAACAAAGCAAGAACAGUUGUGGCACAAUGAUCAAACCCUAUGAGGUGCCUACUGUAAUUUCUAACCAUACAGAUGGUGUGGCAUCCCUCUUUGUAUUACCCGAACAGCCUAGGGUCACUUUUUGCAUUCUUUUUCUUAAAUGAGAAAUAAACCAUACAUGCAGUGAACAACGUAUUUCUUAAAAGCUUAACUGCUGUAACAGAAUAUUAUGACUGACACAAUCAAAUACCUUCAAUAAGCAUAGCAGAUCUCAACUAGUGAAAUUUUAUUGUUUACACUUUAUUAUGCGCUCAGUAAAUGUACACCUAGCUGUCUGAGUAGCAUGGCCCUUCUAAAACCCAAACCAUGAUUGGCUAAAGGUACCACUACUACACAGUUGCAUGGCAACAGUUUACAUCCCCUAUCCCAUUUGAAUGUUACGAACAUCUUCCCAACACUAUCAUCAACGUCUCAAUUUUCUAUUUUAUCUGUCUUUCCUCAGAUUUGUAUGAAUAUCAUGAUCCAAACAUUUCAAAAAAGUUCUGCAAACAUUUUCAUGUUUCUGCCCACUCCAUCUCUAUAUCUUAAAUAUAUAAAAUAAGCAUUAUUCAAAGAUUGAACAAUGUACUAGUAAUAGCCCUGUCAUCAUAUUUAAUUUUUGUUUAUAUUGAGUUUAAGUGUACACUGAUAUUCUAAGGUACCAGCUAAUUGUGCAAAUUACUUCAUUCACUUACAAUACAGUACAGUGUACAGUUCAGACUGGUAAGCAUAUUAGUGAGGAAAUAAACCAAGAGAACAGUGUUUUGGGUGUGACAAACAAUGAAGGUUACAUAACUCAAAUGUAAUUAAAAAGUUACAAUUCACAAAACAAGACAAUAGUUGCAUAAGAGUGAUAGCACAAAUGCUUUCUAUCACCCAACUAUGACAACUUCCAUUAUAAGACUGUAAAAUUACUGCUUGGAGAAGUACAGCACACCACAUCAUGACAUUUACGGUAAUUGAGCAUGAUCUUAUGGAAACUAUUUCACAGCCAUAUCUGUGUAUGAGCAUCUCCACUUUACCCAUCAUUACUGAGAUAAAAAUUAUAAUUAAAAGUAAAUAAUUAAGGAGAAAAGGAGAUAACUCACUGAGUAGUAGUAGCACUGAGUUGUUACACAAAAAAAAGAAUAAAAAUGUCUGAUACCUGGAUUGCAGUUUGCUGUGGGUAGAGGGCGGAAAGAGGUGAGGCUUAAAGAGCGUGGCAUACUGACUGAAUGAAGGCAGAUAAUGCAACAGCUAGGCACCAGAACCAAUGAGUUCAUGCAUUCCAUGAGGAUGGUGACCUGGAGGAGUAGAUUGAAAGGGAGUGACAGGACAGAGGAAGUGGUGAAUGUGGGAUACAGGGUGUAAGUGCAGUGGGUAAGUGAAGACUCAGGUCAGGAGGGUUACAGGAUUUAAUGUGUUGCAAGGAUCCAAAUAGCACGGGUUGUAAGGCAGCCAUAAACCUCUAGUUGAAUGGCUGCUUUACAACCCCUCCAUUUCACUUACAACUGGGAAACCUUUGGACUGAUCACAUUAUGUGUUAAUGAUGAUUGGGCCUGCUUAGGAUCUAUGAAUAGUGGCAUCCAUAUAUCACUAUUAAGUUCUACUUCAGCGAACUGUGUGUGUAUCCUUCCAACUCCUGCCAAAGUGAUAUUCAGCCACCCCCCCCCCCCCCCCCAAUCUACACAACAUCACAGUCCAUCCUUACGCCAUCCACCCUUACCACAUAGUUCAUAUCUUUGUGGCUGACCCAGGUGCAAGAUCUAUCCGAUACAACCACACGGCACAUCCUACUCCAGUUCUUUCACAGGCUUAUCCUAUCCCAUUGGAGGGACAUCCACCUGUGAAAGCAGUCAUGAUACAUACCAUACCUGCUGCAGCUUCUACACUGCAUUAUGUGGGCAAGAUCACCAACCUGCUGUUCACAGAAUUAAUGGCCACCACCAAACUGGCCUUGAGCAGAGUUGACCACCCAGUGUAAGGACACACUGCUGAGAACAGCAUAAUCGAUUCAAAUGGCUGUUUUACAAGCCAGGUUGUCUGGACCCCUUCCCCUGAGCUCCAGCAUUUCUGAUCUAUGUAGAUGCAAGUUAUCCUUGCAACACACCCUUCACUAUUUUAAUACUGCCAGCUUCAAUUUAUGCUAACCCUCUGCCCUCGUACCUUCUACCCAACAAUCCCCCCUUUCUCUCUCCUGUAACCCCCUCUCAAUCACGUACUCCACGUCAUUAGUUUUGUCCACUGCAUGAACUAACUGGCUCCAGUGCCCAUGUGUUGUAUUCCUAGCCUGUGCACUUGCCGCUUCUAAUCCCACAGUCUGCUGCCUCCCUCUACACUAAGUCAUCCUUCCUCAAGCCCUCAUCCCACUUCCCAUCUCUUUUCUCCUUGUAUCCACAUCCACCCCCAAUAGACAAUACACUCCCAGAGAGAGAGAGAGAGAGAGAGAGAGAGAGAGAGAGAGAGAGAGAUUUCAACACUUUUACUAUUUGUGAGUUUUCUUCUUCUUAUAUGUGUGUGUGUGUGUGUGUGUGGGGGUCAAUUCAACAAUUCUACUAUUUUGGGUUUUAUUCUGUACUCCUAAAUUAUUCCCAUUCUGCCAUAACUUUUCUUGCCCUAUUUAUAAUGAAAAGUUUCAUAUUGUAACUUGAAACAUAAAUAUGAUUCAGUUUUAGACCAUUCAUAAUAAAAACGGUACUACAGAGUCUAAAGAAUCCACACAAAAUAACUGACUACAUGAUCAGCAGUGUUUACUUCUUUCUAUGGACUUCAUUGCUGAUUUAAGGACAUUGUUACCUUGUUAUUGGUUUCCUCGUAAUUGACAUGGAGGUUCUUGAUUUUGCUCCACAUUAGUUGAAUUACGUCAUAUUACAUUUAUACUGAGCCCUUGAACCUGGUCUCUCUCAAUGUGUUUCAAGGCAGCAAAUUUUCCCCACUUUGUCAAUACUGAACCCACCAAUUCAAUCCCUCUGCUGUGACCCCACAAAUAAACUCUCUAAAACUCACUGUGUGUAAAAUACACCCCAUAUUCUUAUGAUUUCACAUUCAUUGGCUUUGCCACCUCACAAUCAACCUGUCAUCUUCCAAGAUCCAACUGGCAAUACCUCUCAUAU